rnacentral:rRNA from 1 species
GACGAAGGAUUCAAGCGUUGUCCGGAUUUACUGGGUUUAAAGGGUGCGUAGGCGGAACUCUAAGUCAGUGGUGAAAUCCCGCAGCUCAACUGCGGAACUGCCAUUGAAACUGGUUUUCUUGAAUACAGUGGAGGUAGAUGGAAUAUAACAUGUAGCGGUGAAAUGCUUAGAUAUGUUAUAGAACACCGAUUGCGAAGGCAGUCUGCUACACUGUCAUUGACGCUGAGGCACGAAAGCGUGGGGAGCGAACAGG